UGACGAUGAAGAGACCACAUCUGCUGUGACAGAAGUGGACAAUGCUGGUAGAUCCACUGAGUACAUACCUAGGGGUUUGCCCACAGAUGAGGGUCCUUCAACCUCAGCACACAAUCUAAGCAGGGUAACAAUUUGUGUCCAGGUGUCCAUAUUUUAAUUAUAUUGUCUGACCAAACAAUCUCAUUUAUUAAUUUUUUUCCACCUUCCUAGUUGCCAGCAAAGGAGCUGUAUAAGGUCCAUCUUCAAAAACAAAUAAGGAAAAGUGACAUGGAGAUGGACCUUAUACAGCUUCAAAUGGAAGAGAAAAGGCUCCUCGUUAAAAAAGCAGCACUUGAAAUUGAAUUACUAGACCAUCGCCCUAAGGAGAGAACUUGUCUGAAUAUUCUGUCAGAACAAUCUGUUGCAUGAUAAAAGUGUUGGGUG